rfam:Thermotalea metallivorans strain B2-1 AN619_contig000018, whole genome shotgun sequence.
UCCAUCGUGAGGUGGAAUCUGAAGGAAGCCGGAGGCAAAGUCCCGACCCGAUGAACAAAAACCAGAUACAAGGCUGAAGUGGGACGGACGAGUUUGCGUGACAAAACAAAGUCCAACACUGCACGAAUCCCACACAGUAAAUCUGGCGGGUACAUGGGAUGAAGGUAACUGCU